CGUGUAGGCGGGAGAGCAAGUCAGAUGUGAAAUCUAUGGGCUUAACCCAUAAACUGCAUUUGAAACUGUUCUUCUUGAGUAUCGGAGAGGCAGGCGGAAUUCCUAGUGUAGCGGUGAAAUGCGUAGAUAUUAGGAGGAACACCAGUAGCGAAGGCGGCUUUCUGGACUGUAACUGACACUGAGGCACGAAAGCGUGGGGGAGCAAACA
rnacentral:rRNA from 1 species